UCUCUCUCUUUAAAUAUCUUGUUGCACUGUACUCACCCUUCUCCUUGUGAUGAUGUAAGAUGAUACAAUGCCUAUGUGAUGUGAUAAAGUGCAGUGAAUUAUGUAGGCAUUGUGACGUAGUGUUAAGCAACUAUUGACCUUCUGACAACUGGUCAGGAGGAUCAUCUGAUUCCAGACCAUGGUUGAUAACAGAUAACUGCAGGUAACUGCAGGAAGGAAAGCACAGCUUUGACCCAAGGGUGGACUGAAUUGGGAAACUCCAUUGUGAGCACACACAGCAAAAUUUCAAGAAAACCUAUCUUUCUUGCAAAAGAUCAGCAGAGGCCCCUUCUCAGCCUUUCCCCAAGUCCAGCUAUAAUCACAGAGCUGUAUUGUUAUGGUGGAGGUAAGAGGAGCCUCAUCACAUGGAACUACAUGGCAGUUCAAGAGGACCUCAUCUGAAAGAACUCUGUAUUACAUUCUAUCCAGAAGAACCAGAAAAAGAGCCUCUUGGAGCCAGACUAUGGAGAAAUCCUGGUGAGGACAGAGCUGGGGGAGAUCAUUUACUGCUGUGUAUGAAUCAAUACAAGUCUCAGACUCACCUCUAAACUGUACAUAUGUGAAACAUAACCAAAGAAGUGAAUCAAAGGUUUUAAAAACUGAACAUGUGUAUAACCCACUGCCAAGCCUCAACUAACCUGGGUGGCAUAUGCAAAGGGCAGACCCCAAACAGCAUAACAAAUGCUUUGAAAAAUGAACACUCACCCACAAAACUCAACAGUUUGAACCUAACUAAACCAUUGCUUCUCAAACACACACACACACACACACACACACACACACACACACACACAGUGAUUCCCCUUAAAACAAAACAAGACAGUAUCUGAAGUAUUUUAGCAGAAUUCCAAAAUCGUAUAAAAAUGAAAUUGUAAAGGAUAUAAUCCAAAAUUACGAAACAUGUAAAGAACCAGAAAAUCUCACCAAAUUUCAAGGGAAAAUAUAAUCAACAGAUUCUACAAUGACCAGAUAUUAAAAUUACCAGACAAGACAUUAAAGCAGCUAUUUCAGCCAUGCCUAAGACAUGUUGUGGGUUUGGUUUUAGACCUCUGCAAU